rnacentral:misc_RNA from 1 species
GAUGAAGAACGUAGUGAAAUGCGAUAAUUAAUGUGAAUUGCAGAAUUCAGUGAAUCAUCGAAUCUUUGAACGCACAUUGCGCCCGCCAGUAUUCUGGCGGGCAUGCCUGUUCGAGCGUCAUUUCAACCAUCAAGCCCCCGGCUUGUGUUGGGGACCUGCGGCUGCCGCAGGCCCUGAAAUGCAGUGGCGGGCUCGCUGUCACUCCGAGCGUAGUAGUUACAUCUCGCUCUGGGCGUGCUGCGGGUUCCGGCCGUUAAAAGCCUUAUUUACCCAAGGUUGACCUCGGAUCAGGUAGGAAGACCCGCUGAACUUAAGCAUAUCAAUAAGCGGAGGA